ACUCAAAUGAAUUGACGGGGGCCCGCACAAGCGGUGGAGCAUGUGGUUUAAUUCGACGCAACGCGCAGAACCUUACCAGUCCUUGACAUGCCUGUCAUAGUUUACAGAGAUGUAUUCGUCGGUUCGGCCGGACAGUGCACAGUUGCUGCAUGGCUGUCGUCAGCUCGUGUCGUGAGAUGUUGGGUUAAGUCCCGCAACGAGCGCAACCCUCCUCCUUAGUUGCCACCAUUCAGUUGGGCACUCUAGGGAUACUGCCGGUGAUAAGCCGGAGGAAGGCGAGGAUGACGUCAAGUCCUCAUGGCACUUACGGACUGGGCUACACACGUGCUACAAUGGUGGUGACAGUGGGACGCAACUCCGCGAGGGGACGCAAAUCUCUAAAAACCAUCUCAGUUCAGAUUGCAGGCUGCAACUCGCCUGCAUGAAGUUGGAAUCGCUAGUAAUCGUGGAUCAGCAUGCCACGGUGAAUACGUUCCCGGGCCUUGUACACACCGCCCGU
rnacentral:rRNA from 1 species